rnacentral:sRNA from 1 species
UCGCGCCAUGCGCCGCAGGCAGGAGCGGGGGACCCAAGGUAAGUGCCGCGCCCGGGAGUUGACCGGGAACGGCUUGGGGUGGAGCCGCGCGUCCAGGGGACGCGCGGCCGGGCAACUCAACCGGCCCGAACCCGACAGCUCACCUCGCAGGCGUCGGUGAGGGGAUCG